AUGACGACUUAUGAUCCGAUGUUUUACGGUGUUUGCUUAUCAUGGUUUUCGAAGUUUGUCAUUUGAUGAUAGAAGAACUCGGAUAAUCAAACUAGGGCAAAGCGAAAGCAAUGUCCAGUCCAGAACUACUAUGACUGCAAAUCAUUGCCCAAGAAAUAAAACAAAAUGGAUUGCUACAUUAUUUUAAACCAAGGCAAACACAGCCACAGAGGAAACCAGUGGGCUCCAGCGAAUACUGCAGUGUACUUACAUGCAGACGCUAUUGUCAGGGAGAAUCAGGAGAUCAUAAAUUCUGUAUAGUUCACUAUAUGCUAAUACAUGAGCAGUAAUCUUUUUAGUAGCUAUUGUCAUGGCCACCACCUAGACCCAAAUAGCUUACUGGGUAUGUACAGGCAUGCAGCUCGGGGUGGGUACAUGGGUUGUGUCCCUUUCACUCAACCAUCAAAAAGCAGUCUUAUUUCAAAAUAUACUUACUCUACAUAAUAUCUAUGACUGCACAUCCCCUCCACAGCUAAUCAGAUUGUUUGUUAUGGUUAUCAGACUUCACCUUUCCUUUUCUGGACAUACAAUGCCUUCAAUUAAAUAAUUUCUUUUAUUUUAAUAAAAUAAGAUUAGAAGCAA